rfam:Beta vulgaris subsp. vulgaris chromosome 4, whole genome shotgun sequence.
CAAAAUUUCUUGGUUAAGGGAACCCAGCAAAGCCGUAGCGAAAGCGAGUCUUCAUAGGGCAAUUGUCACUGCUUAUGGACCCGAACCUAGGGUGAUCUAUCCAUAACUAGGAUGAAGCUUGGAUGAAGCUAAGUGGAGGUCCGAACCAACUGAUGUUGAAGAAUCAGCGGAUGAGUUGUGGUUAGGAGUGAAAUGCCACACACAUAUAUAUAAUAUAUAG